rnacentral:rRNA from 1 species
AGUGAACGCUGGCGGUAGGCCUAACACAUGCAAGUCGAACGGCAGCACAGGGGAGCUUGCUCUCUGGGUGGCGAGUGGCGGACGGGUGAGGAAUACAUCGGAAUCUACUCUGUCGUGGGGGAUAACGUAGGGAAACUUACGCUAAUACCGCAUACGACCUACGGGUGAGAGCAGGGGAUCUUCGGACCUUGCGCGAUUGAAUGAGCCGAUGUCGGAUUAGCUAGUUGGCGGGGUAAAGGCCCACAAAGGCGACGAUCCGUAGCUGGUCUGAGAGGAUGAUCAGCCACACUGGAACUGAGACACGGUCCAGACUCCUACGGGAGGCAGCAGUGGGGAAUAUUGGACAAUGGGCGCAAGCCUGAUCCAGCCAUACCGCGUGGGUGAAGAAGGCCUUCGGGUUGUAAAGCCCUUUUGUUGGGAAAGAAAUCCAGCUGGCUAAUACCCGGUUGGGAUGACGGUACCCAAAGAAUAAGCACCGGCUAACUUCGUGCCAGCCGCCGCCGUAA